AUACGGAGGGUGCAAGCGUUGUUCGGAAUCACUGGGCGUAAAGGGCGCGCAGGCGGUUUUACAAGUCAGAUGUGAAAGCCCACGGCUUAACCGUGGAAGUGCAUUUGAAACUGUAAGACUUGAGUAUCAGAGGGGAAGGUGGAAUUCCCGGUGUAGAGAUGAAAUUCGUAGAUAUCGGGAGGAAUACCGGUGGCGAAGGCGACUUUCUGGCUGAAUACUGACGCUGAGGCGCGAAAGCGUGGGGAGCAAACAGGAUUAGAUACCCUAGUAGUCC
rnacentral:rRNA from 1 species